rnacentral:rRNA from 1 species
CGCGUAGGCGGUCCGAGAAGUCAGAUGUGAAAUUCCGGGGCUCAACCCCGGAGCUGCAUUUGAAACUUUUGGACUUGAGGUUGAUAAGGGAAAACGGAAUUCCACGUGUAGCGGUGAAACGCGUAGAUAUGUGGAAGAACACCGGUGGUGAAGACGGUUUUCUGUGUCAAACCUGACGCUGAGGCGCGAAAGCUAGGGGAGCAAACA